CGAAGGAGGUGGCUCCCAUCUUUUUGUCUUAUUUGUAAGUUUCUUCAUGUCAUUUUUUCUUAUUUGUCUUCAUAUUAUAUUCAUUGGACAUUUUUUUAUGUCAUUUUUCUUUUUUCUUUUCACCUUUUUAUGUAUUUUUAGUUGUGUUUGCAAGUUUUCAAAACAUACGCAAGAGUAUGGCCAAUGCAUGAUUGGUUUGUAAUCAGCCAAAGGGAUUCUGUCAUAGAUCUGACAGAAGAACUAGAAAUUUCAAAACAAAGAUGGUCGAAGUAUUUCAUCAUUCAAUGAUAAUUGUUUAUUUAUUUCUUACUUUUUUCAUAUACUUUUUUUCACUCAAAGAAAAAAUCAUCAGGUGGCGCCCUGCUAUUUUAAACAAACCUUGACGACCCACAUGGAAAUUUGCAUGCAAGCUAUAUCGUCUCGCGGCAGAAGUUAUGAUUUUUUAUAGAGGAUGAGGAUGUCAAGUCGCAUAUUUAUGGAGCUUAUUGGAAAGCUUUUGUGCGAGCACAUCAGAUAGAGUUUGUUGAUGUUGUUUGUUUUGAGCCUGUAGCUUGGGGUAAUCCAACGUUACAGUGUUUGAUGAAGAAGAAAAUGAGAAGAUUGACAAUCACAGUGCUGGGAUAAUGCUAGUCCCAAACGAUGUUCGUGUGAUUUUUCAAGAUAUUUCUUUCACAGACUUGUGUAGUCUAACCGACAAUGCUAUCGGAGGGCUUGUCGGCACCCUAUCAAGCGACGCAGAGUUGGACAUGACCUUAUUGAUGCGGCAACUGGUGCGCUUGUCGAGAAUCGUCUCAUGCACACACUAACUGACGAAUAUAUCGAAGAGAAUGAAUUUGUAUGUCUAGAUAAAGUUUUUCUAGGGUUGGUGUUUUUUUUCUCUUUCUUUUUUGUACCGGUACUCAAAGAAGUUUGUUUAUUAAAGACUAUUCCGAUAGAGUUCAUUGACUCUCAAGAAAUGGAUGAAGAAGGACAAGUUUUUUUAUGGAAUACUCCCUCCGUCUGGAAAACUUGCCCCCGUGGCAAUUUUGCGAAAACCCCCUCACGGUAUUCCCAACAAGCGACACACUCCCCCACCCCCGCUCCUCUCCCCGCCAGUUCCCCCUGCUCGUAUCCCUUGCCGAAGCCCUCUGCUCGGCUCCCCAAGAAGCUUCCGCUGGCGUCGGCGGAGAUUCCCCGCAUAGCUCCCUGCUCUGCUCCCCUCCUUGUUCCCCUCCUCCGCCGCGUCGCUUCCCCGGGCGAGGAGAAGCCUCGAUUUUUCUGACCUCCCCCACAGAAGCCGCAGCUGCCCUGCUCCACCACCGCCGCAACUGCCUCCUCCGCCGCUCUCUCCUGCUCGCGCAGCUCCAGCUUGCCUUCCUCCCCUAGCUUCCCCCCUCCCUAGUGACCUCUGCUCUCUGCUCCAGCUGCUUCAGAUCCGGCGUCGGCAAGGCUGAUAUGGUGGUUGCGAGGCCAGACGGCAGGAGAAGUAGCCGACGAGCCCGACGACAACAAGCUCGAUGGCGGUGGAGACGUCUUCUCUACUGCGAGCUCCACCAUACCUGCAUAUAUUGUACUGCGAGCUCGACGACGGCGGUGGCGUCUUCUUGAAAUUGGAGCUUGGGUUCUUCUCAGCGGCAGCAGCACGAGCAGACCCGCCGAGGAGGAGCAGCAACUUGCAGACGAGCAACAGGUCGAGGAGAGGAGUGGGGGAGACAACAGGGAGCUCGAGGUUGAGGAUGAACUUCAGUUCCAGGCCCGCCGGGAGCUCCAGGUCCAGGCGCUCGAGACCUAAGCUGGCGCAGGCCCUGGGUGGCGGGAGGGGAUAGCGGCGCAGCCCUGGGCGGCGGAGGGGGUCACGGCGGGAGAAGAUGGCGGCGGCGCAGCGCCCUUCAGCCGUGUUGCCGCCGCCCGUCGAGGUGGUCGCCGCAGAGUAGCAGGUGGACGACGCAGCUCGCCUCGGGCCGCACAGGUGGGCACAGGCGGCGGUGGUUCACAGCGGUGGCGCAGCUCGCCUCGGGCGGUGGUGGUUCACAGCGGCAGCGCAGGCCGUGGCCGUCGUCACGCGCUCGGCCCUACGACGGUGGCUUGGGCGACCACGGUGCACGCGGCCGACGGAGAAAGGAGGAAGAAGCAGGGGGCUGAUUAGCAAGAGAUUUGAAGAUGAAAGGUUUUUUUUUUGCAAAAUUAGAAAUGAACUAAGCGCUGGACAACUUUUCUCGGACGGAGGGAGUAUAUGUUAAGGAAAAAGUUAGAGGAGGAACUUUCAAAGAUUAAUAAAGGGGAGGAGAUAAUGUGGUUA